AUGGAGCUUGAGGCUAUGAGCAGAUACACUGGCCCAGGAAAGCCAGGUGUCUUCCCACAUCUGACCAUGGUGCUGUUGGCCACUGCCAUGUGCUUCACCACCUGGUUCUUUGUUUAUGAGGUUACCUACACCAGGCAUCCUUGGGAUAUCUACAAAGACCCCCUGCUCUUGGUGACCUUGUUCUUCAUGGGCUUUGGGGUCCUCUUCCUGCUGCUCUGGAUUGGCAUUUAUAUAUGA